GUAUUUUAACACUAACGGCGUGAUCUUAUCAACUUGUGAACCCUAAUCAGACUUUCCUCUUCACUUCUUCUUCACCACAUUGACCCCUUCCUGAACCAACCUCCAUCUCCAUCUCCAUCACCACAUCGACCACCGCCCUCCAUCAUCGUCCUCAACCCCAAACGCCGUCGCACCCCGCCACCCACUCCGUCGCACACAUCCGCCUCCAUCUCCAUCACCACUUCCCCGUCGCUGGUUCCGACCACCACGGCCUCACCCGUCUUCUCCAACCACACCGGAACCACCACGCACCACCGUUCGCCCUCACCUUCGCCUCCGGUCUCCGACAUCAGUUCCAAAUAAUUUACACAACCACAAAUUCACUCAGUUUAACGAAGCUUCCAAUUCGUGAUUUUGCUUUACUGAUUCCGUUUUAUUCAGAAUGAGUUGACUUGAUGGACAGUUAUGUGUUAGAUUUGGAUAUCUGACCUGGCCACAUGCAUACUUCAAGGAACUCUUUAAUCGGUUACGACUUUCAUGGAUUUAGGAUUUGUGUGUGUUUUGAAUUGAUUCGACGGUCAUUUGGGUGUAUGUUCUAUAUGAAUUUCCGCUUAUGCUGUGGGUUUUGGACGUAAGAGCUUGAUCAGGAUCUAUAUUGUUUGCGUUUUUUGAUGCUGUCUGGAUAAAAAUAUAUAUAUAU
rnacentral:lncRNA from 1 species